UGCAAACUGCGAAUACCGGAGAAUGUUAUCACGGGAGACACACGGCGGGUGCUAACGUCCGUCGUGAAGAGGGAAACAACCCAGACCGCCAGCUAAGGUCCCAAAGUCAUGGUUAAGUGGGAAACGAUGUGGGAAGGCCCAGACAGCCAGGAUGUUGGCUUAGAAGCAGCCAUCAUUUAAAGAAAGCGUAAUAGCUCACUGGUCGAGUCGGCCUGCGCGGAAGAUGUAACGGGGCUAAACCAUGCACCGAAGCUGCGGCAGCGACGCUGAUGCGUUGUUGGGUAGGGGAGCGUUCUGUAAGCCUGUGAAGGUGUGCUGUGAGGCAUGCUGGAGGUAUCAGAAGUGCGAAUGCUGACAUAAGUAACGAUAAAGCGGGUGAAAAGCCCGCUCGCCGGAAGACCAAGGGUUCCUGUCCAACGUUAAUCGGGGCAGGGUGAGUCGACCCCUAAGGCGAGGCCGAAAGGCGUAGUCGAUGGGAAACAGGUUAAUAUUCCUGUACUUGGUGUUACUGCGAAGGGGGGACGGAGAAGGCUAUGUUGGCCGGGCGACGGUUGUCCCGGUUUAAGCGUGUAGGCUGGUUUUCCAGGCAAAUCCGGAAAAUCAAGGCUGAGGCGUGAUGACGAGGCACUACGGUGCUGAAGCAACAAAUGCCCUGCUUCCAGGAAAAGCCUCUAAGCAUCAGGUAACAUCAAAUCGUACCCCAAACCGACACAGGUGGUCAGGUAGAGAAUACCAAGGCGCUUGAGAGAACUCGGGUGAAGGAACUAGGCAAAAUGGUGCCGUAACUUCGGGAGAAGGCACGCUGAUAUGUAGGUGAAGUCCCUCGCGGAUGGAGCUGAAAUCAGUCGAAGAUACCAGCUGGCUGCAACUGUUUAUUAAAAACACAGCACUGUGCAAACACGAAAGUGGACGUAUACGGUGUGACGCCUGCCCGGUGC
rnacentral:rRNA from 1 species